rnacentral:rRNA from 1 species
CCUACGGGUGGCAGCAGUGAGGAAUAUUGGUCAAUGGGCGUAAGCCUGAACCAGCCAAGUCGCGUGAGUGAUGAAGGUUCUAUGGAUCGUAAACCUCUUUUAUAAGGGAAUAAAGUGUGGGACGUGUCCUAUUUUGUAUGUACCUUAUGAAUAAGGCUCGGCUAAAUCCGUGCCAGCAGCCGCGGUAAUACGGAGGAUCCGAGCGUUAUCCGGGUUUAUUGGGUGUAAAGGGUGCGUAGACGGGCUCUUAAGUCAGCGGUGAAAGUCUGUGGCUCAACCAUAGAAUUGCCGUUGAAACUGGGGGGCUUGAGUAUGUUUGAGGUAGGCGGAAUGCGUGGUGUAGCGGUGAAAUGCUUAGAUAUCACGAAGAACCCCGAUGGCGAAGGCAGCCUGCCAAGCCAUGACUGACGCUGAUGCACGAAAGCGUGGGGAUCAAACAGGAUUAGAUACCCCUGUAGUC